GCAGGUGUGGCGGAAUGGCAGACGCAGCAGACUCAAAAUCUGCCGUUGGCAACAACAUGCGGGUUCAAGUCCCGCCACCUGCA
rnacentral:tRNA from 4 species